UAUGAUAGCAACCAGUAACACUGUCCAGACCAGAUUUUGAACACACACGUCCUGAAGGCCACCAGUGAAAAGACUGUCAGGUCACAUAGCUCAUACCAUUUCAAGGAUUCAUUGUCUAACUGGAGAUUGGCUGGCAUGGCCCUGGAUCCACAGUUUAGGAUUAGCGAAGUUUCAGCUGCACAGAAUGUCCUUGAAAGGCUCACCCAGACCACCUUGAAGAGGGACAUGAUUCAUCUCCAGGUAUGUGCCCCAUGUGAUGUAGCACACUG